AGGAAGGCACAAUUACUGGGACCCCGGCAUUGCACUCGUUGACCUUUCGGGCCCGCCCCCCAGCAAAGCCAGGGGCCUUCGCUCAGACUCCCGGCCCCUCUCCUCGUGCCCAUGGAGCGUCCGGUCCCGCCCCCCUCGUAUUCCGGCACCCCUCUGCCCGGUUCCAGGAACCGGCGUCCCCUUCGUGCCUCACCGUAGACCACCAGGACGUAGGGAGCUCGCGCUUGGCCGUGCUUGUUUCCGGCCUCACAGGCCCCUCAGAGGUUUCCUAGUCCAGCUUCCUCAUUUUAUAGAUGAAGACACUGAGAUUUAUGGAAUACAGUGAUUUGCCCAAAGUCACAAAUGGCAAAGCCUGGUCACUUACACUGGACAUCCAGCACGUACUGAGUCUGCUUGCUGUGGCCUGGAGGGAGGGCUGCAUUUUGAGCCUCACAUGU